UACGAAGGGGGCUAGCGUUGUUCGGAAUUACUGGGCGUAAAGCGCACGUAGGCGGACAUUUAAGUCAGGGGUGAAAUCCCAGAGCUCAACUCUGGAACUGCCUUUGAUACUGGGUGUCUUGAGUAUGGAAGAGGUGAGUGGAAUUCCGAGUGUAGAGGUGAAAUUCGUAGAUAUUCGGAGGAAUACCAGUGGCGAAGGCGGCUCACUGGUCCAUUACUGACGCUGAGGUGCGAAAGCGUGGGGAGCAAACAGG
rnacentral:rRNA from 1 species